GUGCUCGCUUCGGCAGCACAUAUACUCAAAUUGGAACAAUCCAGAGAUUGGCGUGGCCCCUGCACAAGGAUGACACACGAAUUUGUGAAGCAUUUCAUAUAAAA